rnacentral:rRNA from 1 species
GAUGAACGCUAGCGGCAGGCCUAAUACAUGCAAGUCGAACGGUGUCUUCGGACAUAGUGGCGCACGGGUGCGUAACACGUAUGCAACCUACCUUACAUUGGGGGAUAGCCUUUCGAAAGGGAGAUUAAUACCGCAUAAGACAGUAGCUGGGCAUCCAGCAGCUGUUAAAGAUUUAUCGAUGUAAGCUGGGCAUGCGUCCAAUUAGCUAGUUGGUGAGGUAACGGCUCACAAAGGCAAUGAUUGGUAGGGGAACUGAGAGGUCAAUCCCCCACACUGGAACUGAGAUACGGGCCAGACUCCUACGGGAGGCAGCAGUAGGGAAUAUUGGGCAAUGGACGCAAGUCUGACCCAGCCAUGCCGCGUGCAGGAUGAAGGCGUUAUGCGUUGUAAACUGCUUUUAUACAGGAAGAAACGACUCUUGCGAGAGGCAUUGACGGUACUGUAUGAAUAAGCACCGGCUAACUCCGUGCCAGCAGCCGCAGUAAGAC